GCCUUAAAAGCUAAUAGCUCAGCGCCUGGUCUUGUAAACCAGUGAAGAAGGUUAAAAUCCCUCUUAAGGCU
rnacentral:tRNA from 1 species